AGCAGUAGCCGCGGGAAUACGUAGGUGGCAAGCGUUGUCCGGAUUUAUUGGGCGUAAAGCGGGCGCAGGCGGUUAGAUAAGUCUGAAGUUAAAGGCUGUGGCUUAACCAUAGUACGCUUUGGAAACUGUUUAACUUGAGUGCAAGAGGGGAGAGUGGAAUUCCAUGUGUAGCGGUGAAAUGCGUAGAUAUAUGGAGGAACACCGUGGCGAAAGCGGCUCUCUGGCUUGUAACUGACGCUGAGGCUCGAAAGCGUGGGGAGCAAACAGGAUUAGAUACCCGCGUAGUCCCUGUCUCUUAUACAC
rnacentral:rRNA from 1 species